rnacentral:rRNA from 1 species
CAGUCGCCACGGUAAGACAGAGGAUGCAAGCGUUAUCCGGAAUGAUUGGGCGUAAAGGGCUCGCAGGCGGUUUCUUAAGUCUGAUGUGAAAGCCCCCGGCUCAACCGGGGAGGGUCAUUGGAAACUGGGAAACUUGAGUGCAGAAGAGGAGGGUGGAAUUCCACGUGUGGCGGUGAAAUGCGUAGAGAUGUGGAGGAACACCAGUGGCGAAGGCGACUCUCUGGUCAGCAACUGACGCUGAGGAGCGAAAGCGUGGGGAGCGAACAGGAUUAGAUACCCCAGUAGUCCCUGUCUCUUAUAC